rnacentral:rRNA from 1 species
CUGGGUUGGAACCCUCCAGAAGUCCGCAGAGAUGUGGAUGUGCCCGCAAGGGAAUUGGAUGUCCAGGUGCUGCAUGGCUGUCGUCAGCUCGUGUCGUGAGAUGUUGGGUUAAGUCCCGCAACGAGCGCAACCCUUGUCGUUAGUUGCCAGCGGUUCGGCCGGGCACUCUAACGAGACUGCCGGUGUUAAACCGGAGGAAGGUGGGGAUGACGUCAAGUCCUCAUGGCCCUUAUGCCCAGGGCUACACACGUGCUACAAUGGCCGGUACAAAGGGUCGCUAACCCGCGAGGGUACGCUAAUCCCAAAAAACCGGCCUCAGUUCAGAUUGAAGUCUGCAACUCGACUUCAUGAAGUUGGAAUCGCUAGUAAUCCCUGAUCAGCAGGCAGGGGUGAAUACGUUCCC